UUAAGUGACUAAGCGUACACGGUGGAUGCCCUGGCAGUCAGAGGCGAUGAAGGACGUGCUAAUCUGCGAUAAGCGUCGGUAAGGUGAUAUGAACCGUCAUAACCGGCGAUUUCCGAAUGGGGAAACCCAGUGUGUUUCGACACACUAUCAUUAACUGAAUCCAUAGGUUAAUGAGGCGAACCGGGGGAACUGAAACAUCUAAGUACCCCGAGGAAAAGAAAUCAACCGAGAUUCCCCCAGUAGCGGCGAGCGAACGGGGAGCAGCCCAGAGCCUGAAUCAGUGUGUGUGUUAGUGGAAGCGUCUGGAAAGGCGCGCGAUACAGGGUGACAGCCCCGUACACAAAAAUGCACAUACUGUGAGCUCGAUGAGUAGGGCGGGACACGUGGUAUCCUGUCUGAAUAUGGGGGGACCAUCCUCCAAGGCUAAAUACUCCUGACUGACCGAUAGUGAACCAGUACCGUGAGGGAAAGGCGAAAAGAACCCCGGCGAGGGGAGUGAAAAAGAACCUGAAACCGUGUACGUACAAGCAGUGGGAGCACGCUUAGGCGUGUGACUGCGUACCUUUUGUAUAAUGGGUCAGCGACUUAUAUUCUGUAGCAAGGUUAACCGAAUAGGGGAGCCGAAGGGAAACCGAGUCUUAACUGGGCGUUAAGUUGCAGGGUAUAGACCCGAAACCCGGUGAUCUAGCCAUGGGCAGGUUGAAGGUUGGGUAACACUAACUGGAGGACCGAACCGACUAAUGUUGAAAAAUUAGCGGAUGACUUGUGGCUGGGGGUGAAAGGCCAAUCAAACCGGGAGAUAGCUGGUUCUCCCCGAAAGCUAUUUAGGUAGCGCCUCGUGAAUUCAUCUCCGGGGGUAGAGCACUGUUUCGGCAAGGGGGUCAUCCCGACUUACCAACCCGAUGCAAACUGCGAAUACCGGAGAAUGUUAUCACGGGAGACACACGGCGGGUGCUAACGUCCGUCGUGAAGAGGGAAACAACCCAGACCGCCAGCUAAGGUCCCAAAGUCAUGGUUAAGUGGGAAACGAUGUGGGAAGGCCCAGACAGCCAGGAUGUUGGCUUAGAAGCAGCCAUCAUUUAAAGAAAGCGUAAUAGCUCACUGGUCGAGUCGGCCUGCGCGGAAGAUGUAACGGGGCUAAACCAUGCACCGAAGCUGCGGCAGCGACGCUGAUGCGUUGUUGGGUAGGGGAGCGUUCUGUAAGCCUGCGAAGGUGUGCUGUGAGGCAUGCUGGAGGUAUCAGAAGUGCGAAUGCUGACAUAAGUAACGAUAAAGCGGGUGAAAAGCCCGCUCGCCGGAAGACCAAGGGUUCCUGUCCAACGUUAAUCGGGGCAGGGUGAGUCGACCCCUAAGGCGAGGCCGAAAGGCGUAGUCGAUGGGAAACAGGUUAAUAUUCCUGUACUUGGUGUUACUGCGAAGGGGGGACGGAGAAGGCUAUGUUGGCCGGGCGACGGUUGUCCCGGUUUAAGCGUGUAGGCUGGUUUUCCAGGCAAAUCCGGAAAACUAAGGCUGAGGCGUGAUGACGAGGCACUACGGUGCUGAAGUAACAAAUGCCCUGCUUCCAGGAAAAGCCUCUAAGCAUCAGGUAACAUCAAAUCGUACCCCAAACCGACACAGGUGGUCAGGUAGAGAAUACCAAGGCGCUUGAGAGAACUCGGGUGAAGGAACUAGGCAAAAUGGUGCCGUAACUUCGGGAGAAGGCACGCUGAUAUGUAGGUGAAGCGACUUGCUCGUGGAGCUGAAAUCAGUCGAAGAUACCAGCUGGCUGCAACUGUUUAUUAAAAACACAGCACUGUGCAAACACGAAAGUGGACGUAUACGGUGUGACGCCUGCCCGGUGCCGGAAGGUUAAUUGAUGGGGUCAGCGCAAGCGAAGCUCUUGAUCGAAGCCCCGGUAAACGGCGGCCGUAACUAUAACGGUCCUAAGGUAGCGAAAUUCCUUGUCGGGUAAGUUCCGACCUGCACGAAUGGCGUAAUGAUGGCCAGGCUGUCUCCACCCGAGACUCAGUGAAAUUGAACUCGCUGUGAAGAUGCAGUGUACCCGCGGCAAGACGGAAAGACCCCGUGAACCUUUACUAUAGCUUGACACUGAACAUUGAGCCUUGAUGUGUAGGAUAGGUGGGAGGCUUGGAAGUGUGGACGCCAGUCUGCAUGGAGCCGACCUUGAAAUACCACCCUUUAAUGUUUGAUGUUCUAACGUUGACCCGUAAUCCGGGUUGCGGACAGUGUCUGGUGGGUAGUUUGACUGGGGCGGUCUCCUCCUAAAGAGUAACGGAGGAGCACGAAGGUUGGCUAAUCCUGGUCGGACAUCAGGAGGUUAGUGCAAUGGCAUAAGCCAGCUUGACUGCGAGCGUGACGGCGCGAGCAGGUGCGAAAGCAGGUCAUAGUGAUCCGGUGGUUCUGAAUGGAAGGGCCAUCGCUCAACGGAUAAAAGGUACUCCGGGGAUAACAGGCUGAUACCGCCCAAGAGUUCAUAUCGACGGCGGUGUUUGGCACCUCGAUGUCGGCUCAUCACAUCCUGGGGCUGAAGUAGGUCCCAAGGGUAUGGCUGUUCGCCAUUUAAAGUGGUACGCGAGCUGGGUUUAGAACGUCGUGAGACAGUUCGGUCCCUAUCUGCCGUGGGCGCUGGAGAACUGAGGGGGGCUGCUCCUAGUACGAGAGGACCGGAGUGGACGCAUCACUGGUGUUCGGGUUGUCAUGCCAAUGGCACUGCCCGGUAGCUAAAUGCGGAAGAGAUAAGUGCUGAAAGCAUCUAAGCACGAAACUUGCCCCGAGAUGAGUUCUCCCUGACUCCUUGAGAGUCCUGAAGGAACGUUGAAGACGACGACGUUGAUAGGCCGGGUGUGUAAGCGCAGCGAUGCGUUGAGCUAACCGGUACUAAUGAACCGUGAGGCUUAACCUU
rnacentral:rRNA from 1 species